UGCCAGGCUAUGGAUUUUGUUGACUCUAGAACUGAAGUCAUAGAUAAAGUAGGGCAUAAAGUCUACAGAACCUCAAGGGGACAUGGAAGGAGAAAUACUGACCAGAAAUAGAUAAAGGAAAAAUAAGGCAGCUGUAUGCAUCAAGAAAUGGCAUGGAACAGAGUGAAGGAGCUGUUUUUGACAGCUGCAGUUUUAUCCUGGAAAGAAGGGGAGGAAGGAUGACCAGGGAGUAAGGGGGAGUAAUAGAAGCAAUGCUUACAGCUGCAGCACUGGGGGCAGGACCUGUGUAUUUCUUUGACCAGGUAUUUCUUUUAUAUACAGUGCAUUCUACUUUCCUCUUUCCCUGAACACCUCUUACAAUCUUACAUUGGAAACAUUCAUUUUUUGUAGAUGUAGGAUUAAAGAGAAAGGCAAGAAGAUACCAGAAUUGUCUUCAUAUUUCACUGCAGAUCUUCUUGCUGGCUUUACUCCCAGAAGUUUACUCCAGGUUGUUUCCAUCUAUGCACAUGUUUGUGUGCACAUUACUUCAAGAGUGUAAGAAGCUACCACUGAAACUGGAGCAGGGUAACCAUGCGGUUACAGCUAAACUUGUGUGUGGUUAGAGACUUGAGGACUAAGACUUCUUUUUGGUAAAAUUUCUUUGUAUUUUAGAUUUUAAAACUCCUAAAAAUUGUUAAUAAAUUUUCCACAUUGGCAGUCCUCCAAUUAAACUAAAAUAAAGAUUGCCCUCUCACAAUUAUGGAAGAUCAGUGUUCUCAAACUGAAAAAAACACCCUCCCAAAACAGAAAAUGGGUAUGUAGAAUCAGCAGUUGCUGGAGAAGACUUCUUUAGACACUUAAAAAUUUCAUUACACCUAAAGGUCUUUUGCAUGUCAUGUCUAAAAAGGCAAAGCUUUGGAUUUAUUUGAUUACCAUUUUAUGGAGGCAAGAGAAAAUGGUUUUACAUAGGAGAGAAGAAACCAAUCAGCAUGUUACAUUACAUUACAUUGCACUUCAGCAGGCAUAAUCUAAAGCAUACACUGUCAGUGCAGAGGCUCACUGGUUUGGCAGUGGCUGCACUAAAUCUCCUGGUGCUGCUCUGCACAGGUAUUUCUGAGCUUGAGCUGGGAGUCUUCUUGGGAAGAAAUGUAGCUCAGUCUCAGCUGUGAAAGGGAGCACUGCCAGCCUGUCCAUGUAUGUUUCAGGCAGCAAAGCUAACAGGUCUCUUUUCUGUGUUCUUCAACUGUCACUGCUCUCGCUUGAUACAGCUUUUCUUUCUCCUCAGCCCAAUUGAAGGCAAUAGUGCCAUCUGUACAGGUGAGUGUAAAAAAGGCAUGAAGACAGUUUCUUAAACAAUAAAAUUACAAGAAAACAAAAACCCACCCAGUUUUGUGACAAGUGUCUUGUCACUCCAUGUGUAAAACCACUACAGAGGACUCAAACCCAAAGAUCUCCCAAACAUCUUUGAUCCCACAAGCAGAUGAGGACUCGCCACUGAACAUGUUGAAUAAAUCUGUGGCUGACAAAAUGUUACAAGAACUUGGGAGAGAAGUUGUAGCUCCUUGCUAGGUAUGAGACUGGUUUCCCUCAGAGGCUUGUGAAUGUGCUAACCUGUAGCUGGAGAGAACUUGCUGAGGAGGUUGAUUACCGUAAAUGGCACCAGAAGUCACUAGUGUAAAAAAGUAUGAGAUCCAGGAGAAAACAAGCCUCUGCUCUACCAGCCUGCACUAGAAAGGAAAAAAGAAAACUUGAGACAGCAUCAAACAUGCCUUUAGGAAGUAAGGGUAACUUUGUGCUGGGUAAAUGUGCUAUGUUGUAAUGUUUGGCCACAAAAGGGAAAAAAAGCACUUUCUGUUAAGACUACUCUCUCGUCUGGGUAGGCCGCAUGCUCCACUUUAUAGCUUGUUAUAUUGCAGCUCUCUGCAAAGCAUCCUUUUAAGACAUGAUGAAAUAGCUUUGCAGCUGAAGCAAGAGGUAAAAACACUUACAAGAACAAAGCCGGUGAAACUGGGCAA